rnacentral:rRNA from 1 species
GAUGAACGCUGGCGGCGUGCCUAAUACAUGCAAGUCGAGCGAACCGACCAGAAGUUUGCUUCUCUGAUGUUAUCGGCGGACGGGAGAGUAACACAUGGUUAACCUACCUACCAGACUGGGAUAACUUUGGCAAACCGUAGCUAAUACCGGAUAAUAUUUUGAACCUCAUGGUUCCCCAGUUAAAGACGGUCUUGCUGUCACUUAUAGAUGUAUCCGCGCUGCAUUAGGUAGUUGGUAAGGUAACGGCUUACCAAGGCAACGAGGCAUAGCCGACCUGAGAGGGUGAACGGCAAGCCUGGAACUGAGACAGGGUCGAGACUCCGGGAGGAGGAAGCAGUAGGGAAUCUUCCGCAAUGGGGGAAAGCCUAACGGAGCAAAGCCGCGUGAGGGAUGAAGGUGUACGGAUAGGAAAACGCUGAAAGUAGGAAAGAACAUAAGUGAAAGUAACUGUGAACAUCUUGACGGUACCUAGUCAGAAAGCCACGGCUAACUAAGUG